GCUUGACAUGUCCGGAAUCCUGCAGAGAUGCGGGACUGCCCUUCGGGGAAUCGGAACAC
rnacentral:rRNA from 1 species